rnacentral:sRNA from 1 species
GGGACCGCGCGCCGGGAGCUGCGGGGCCACCCUCCGGGCAGAUCGGUAAUAGAGCCCUCCGUCUAGGGGAGCGCACCCCCGCGGCCGUGGAAAAGCGGGGGCCAUACAUGGUGACGCGCGCACCCUCCAUUCAAGCCAAGCUGCAGAAGCACCGGGACCUGGCCAAGGCCGUUCUGCGGAGAAAAGGCAUGCUGGGGGCCUCGCCGAACCGCCCAGACUCUUCAGGGAAAAGGUCAGUGAAGUUUAACAAGGGCUAUACUGCUCUUAGCCAGAGUCCAGAUGAAAACCUGGUGUCCCUCGACUCUGACAGGUGAGUGCUCCCCUUGGAAAUACCCCCUUGGGAAGCAACUUGGCUGGGACUGAAGAUCGCCUGAUGCCUUUGCUUGUUCCCUGUCUCCUCCAAGGCCCUUCAUGUAUAUUCCAGGGCCGUUCUCUUCUGAACAAUAUCCCUUCCCAGGAUGGCUUGGUUAGAAGACUCAUAGGUAAUCAUGCUGCUCUAGAAUUCGGAGCACCAAUGUCCGGGGGAUCAUCCUGCCCUGUUAUGUUUGCAUUGUUAGUGAGAGUGACCCUGUCCCUGCCAGAACCAACUGAGGGAACCAGUAUUACUCAAGGCCUAUUCGGACUUGAGUUCUGUUGUGUGUGGCCUUUGCUUCCAAAGUCUUCCAGAUGCCCUUGCAUGCUCUCCGCCUGAUGAUUUACAGCUGUGCGCCACAGGUACCUCCCGGAACUGACUGUUUUCUUCUUCUCCUAGUGAUGGGGAGCUGGAAUCCAGAUACUCCUCCGGGUAUUCAUCUGCAGAGCAGGUGAACCAGGAUGUGAGCCGGCAGCUGCUUCAGGAUGGGUAUCACCUGGAUGAGAUUCCAGAUGACGAGGACUUGGACCUCAUCCCCCCUAAGCCCAUGGCCUCUUCAACAUGCUCCUGCUGCUGGUGCUGUCUUGGGGACUCUUCUUCCUGUACCCUCCAGUAGACAUUACCCUCCAAGGUGGGCCCUGCUCACCAUGAGGCCUACAGAGCCCUGUUGGCCACUCAUAGCUCACACAGUGCAGUGAGCACUGA